AAAAUCAAGACACAUGCUUCUUAUAAUGCCUUAAAGAGACAGAGACAAGAAGACAAUAUGGUUUGGUUUAGCUUCUCGUUGGUUGGAUUAUAAUUGAAUUGGUGUUAAAAAGAGAGCAUAGAGUUGUUUAGUGAAGGAGGGAUUGAUGAGUGAUUCUAUUCCUAAUCCUGUCUGGACUACUUGCAAGGAUGCAGCAGGAAUCGCCGGGAAUAUCUUCGCUUUUGGGCUGUUUGUAUCGCCUAUACCAACAUAUAGGAGAAUCAUCAGAAACCGGUCAACAGAACAGUUCUCGGGGUUGCCAUAUAUAUAUGCGCUCAUGAAUUGCUUGAUCUGCAUGUGGUACGGCACGCCCCUCGUAUCUGCUGAUAAUCUUUUGCUUGUCACUGUCAAUUCAUUUGGUGCUGUAUUUCAGUUAGCCUACAUUAUCCUGUUUACAAUAUAUGCUGAGAGAAGAAUAAAGGUCAGGACGUUGGCUUCGCUGCUAGUUGUGCUUGGCCUAUUUGCAAUCAUAGCCGUAGGAAGCUUGCAAAUAACUGAUCGAAUGAUACGUUGGCUCUCAGUUGGCUCAUUGACUGUUGUUUCUCUCAUAUCAAUGUUUGCUUCCCCACUAUUUAUAAUUAAUUUGGUGAUCCGAACAAAGAGUGUUGAAUUCAUGCCAUUUUAUCUCUCCCUUUCCACUUUCUUGAUGAGCACCUCUUUCAUGCUGUAUGGACUUUUGAAUUUCGAUGCCUUUGUUUAUGUUCCAAAUGGCAUAGGCGCCAUUUUGGGAAUUAUCCAAUUAGCCCUAUACGUUCACUAUAAGAAGAAAUCCACACAAGACUCUAUAGAACCCUUGAUAGCUUCGCAUGCAUAAAUUAACAUGCUGAAAUAAGAAGGAUAAUCCAUGGCAGGUCUAGCAGCUCAUAAAGCUCAUGUUACUGAUCCUGUGUUAGCUGAGGCAGUUACCUGAUUGUUUGCUGUUAAGUUCUAAAAGGGAAGCUUAAUAGAUCAAUUCAAUAUCACCGGGAGUGUCAAAUAAUUAUAUAUUAUAUAGUUCAAUUCAAUAUCAGUUGGACUCGCAAUGAACACAAAACAAAAAAAAAAAAAAAAAAAAUAUUAUUUGGAAAUUAAUAGAUAUUUAUUGGCAUUUCAUGUUCAUUUCUCAAAGAAAUCUAACGGAGCCCACAUUCCUUGCACAUCCAUCAAUUGCUUUGCCAAUGACAGGGGUUCUCGUUCCCCAAAAGUUGGAAAUAUUAGCAUGGAUAGCUAUGGUGUGUGCACGUGUUGAAGGUGGUUGCUUUGCUACUUCAUAACUCUAAAUUUGGAUGGAUGUCUUUUAAUUAGUGACCAUUAUUAACUACAAUACUAAACCACAUCUGUUUUUUUCUGUAGACUAUCCACAAUGAAAAACAGAGAAAUUAUUUU